GGCACUGGAGAAUCACACCAGCUUUCAUUCUCUGUGGCCCCUCAAACAGCCUUUUUUGUGUGGUUCUAGACUAUCUUCGUUCUUCUCCCUACAAAAUUUGUCUUCUCCCAUUUGUUCUGUGUUCCCUCUGGUACAGGCUGAACCUGAACUAGAAAGGAAGAAACGCCCACGUGCUGACCCUCCCCUACAUGAAGCUCUUUCCCUGCAUUACUGCUUGCAAGGAACCAGCAGGAAGAGGCACCACUGCCUUAUUCCUGCUCCUUCAACUAGUAACAAAAGGUCCAUUGAUCUGGUGGAUCUGUACAGGCACAUUGUGGAGAGUAAGAGGGUUCUGGGCUUUGAGCUGGGAAAGCUGAGUUGAAGACAUCAGUGCUUACCACAGCAUGUUGACCACUGGAGGCUUGCUUGAUGGCCUGCUGCAGCAGUCUGCAUGGGGAUGUGUGCAGCUAUCACGGCACACAGCCCAUCAGACACCAGGGGAAGCUGAGCCCAAUGGAGGGCAGGAUUCCAGCUCCCCACAGGGCACUGAGGCUCAAAGCUUGAAGAUAAAGAAAGAUGCAGCCUGGGCUCUGAGUUGCUAUCCUGUGACAACACAGGUAUUGUUGGAGCAGUGUGUCCCAAGUGCCAGUAGCAAAAGAACUAUGGUAGGGCCUGGCUCUCUAGUGACCACUACAUCUCUGGGGCCAGCAUGUCACUCUGACUGACUCUGAUCACCCUUUGGGCACUUCCAAGGGCCUGGGGCUGCACCUGUUGGUGGUACAGCCAGCCACCAUCAGAAUGGGGUUAUCUGUCUCAGGCAGGCCAUCCUGCAUGUACCAACAUGAGGGUCACCAAUAAUAACCACCAGGCUUUCUCAAGCUUCAAUAAUAAGCAUUCCUACCCUA